ensembl:snRNA U6 U6 spliceosomal RNA
GUGCUCGCUUCAGCAGAACAUACACUAAAAUUGGAAUGAUACAGAGAAGAUUAGCAUGGCCCCUGUGCAAGGAUGACAUGCAAAUUAAUGAAACGUUCCAUAUUUAU